AUUGUGGAAACUAUUGUAUGAAAUGGUAGACCAUAUUAAGUCAUGAAGAUAAGAUUUUCUUGAUACUUUUUUUUCGUGUAUACAUCAGUUUAUUUUAGAAAGGAAAUAUUGUGUAUUUUUUUUUUAAAGGAAUUAAUUUUGCAAAGUAUUAAUUGUCACCGAAGCAGAAGCAAGGUCCACAAACAUAAUUUUCAAUGGCCGGUUGCUGCGGUUUGAUAUUUUUAUAGGUAUUGCCGUAUUGGAAUACAUUUAUAUCUGUCUAAUAUUCAUAUAAAAUAUAUAUACAUUUCUAAUAAGAUGCAAGAGAAUCGAGGUAAGAAACAUUAUGUCCAGCUAAUUUAUUAAGAUAUGUGGAGUAAUAUAUACCACC
rnacentral:lncRNA from 1 species